GACGAACGCUGGCGGCGUGCUUAACACAUGCAAGUCGAACGGAAAGGCCCUGCUUUUGUGGGGUGCUCGAGUGGCGAACGGGUGAGUAACACGUGAGUAACCUGCCCUUGACUUUGGGAUAACUUCAGGAAACUGGGGCUAAUACCGGAUAGGAGCUCCUGCUGCAUGGUGGGGGUUGGAAAGUUUCGGCGGUUGGUGAUGGACUCGCGGCUUAUCAGCUUGUUGGUGGGGUAGUGGCUUACCAAGGCUUUGACGGGUAGCCGGCCUGAGAGGGUGACCGGACACAUUGGGACUGAGAUACGGCCCAGACUCCAACGGGAGGCAGGGGUGGGGAGUAUUGCACAAUGGGCGGAAGCCUGAUGCAGCAACGCCGCGUGCGGGAUGACGGCCUUCGGGUUGUAAACCGCUUUCGCCUGUGACGAAGCGUGAGUGACGGUAAUGGGUAAAGAAGCACCGGCUAACUACGUG
rnacentral:rRNA from 1 species